rnacentral:rRNA from 1 species
UACGUAGGUGACAAGCGUUGUCCGGAUUUACUGGGCGUAAAGAGCGCGCAGGCGGUCGUUCAAGUCGAGUGUGAAAGCCCCCGGCUCAACUGGGGAGGGUCAUUCGAUACUGAUCGACUCGAAGGCAGGAGAGGGUAGUGGAAUUCCCGGUGUAGUGGUGAUAUGCGUAGAGAUCGGGAGGAAUACCAGUGGCGAAGGCGGCCUUCUGGACUGACACUGACGCUGAGGCGCGAAAGCCAGGGGAGCGAACGGG